UAGUCCUACGGGACGCAGCAGUAGGGAAUCUUCCACAAUGGACGAAAGUCUGAUGGAGCAACGCCGCGUGAGUGAAGAAGGGUUUCGGCUCGUAAAGCUCUGUUGGUAGGGAAGAAAGAUAGAGGGAGUAACUGGCCUUUAUUUGACGGUAAUUACUUAGAAAGUCACGGCUAACUACGUGCCCGCAGCCGCGGUAAUACGUAGGUGGCAAGCGUUGUCCGGAUUUAUUGGGCGUAAAGCGAGUGCAGGCGGGUCAAUAAGUCUG
rnacentral:rRNA from 1 species